CGCGCACGCCGCCCGUGCGCAUGCGUGCGCGUGCGCGGGGCGGAAAUAGCGUAUUUAGGGAAGAAUCCUGGCCGUCGCUGAGAGAUGUCACUCGGUAGCAUUCUCUUCUCUUCCCCUGAAGGAAGCGCACCCGCGGGGCCCCACGAAGUCACCCGUCAUCCCACUCGGGUCGCGAAUACAGGACUGUUGCUAACACACUUGCGCUAAAGCCGGAAACAAGGGAAUGUUUGUGGAACAAAGAACCGAAGAGUCAGUUGUAGCACGCGGCACACUGGAACAUUAUCCAGCAGUGAAAACCGGGUGUGAACUGUGGCCACACCCAACAGCACCCGCGCGUGGUGGAAAGAGAACAUGGAGGGGCCCAAGGAGGUGCAGAAGAAUGGAUGCGGCCUGCGGUAACACUGCGCUCAAGAGCAAGCCUGGCUCACAGUCUACACUCGGGGCGCCCAUGCCCUGAAGAGAGGACCCGGAGUUUCGCUGGUAACAAGCGCUAGGUCCUAGAAACGUCCAAGUGAUCAGGUCGCUCUGCUGUUUAAUAUUCUUCCUGUUUAUAAAUCCUGCAAAACCCGA